AGAGAUAUAAAUCAGUGGUAGAGUUUAUGCUUAGCAUGCACAAGACCCUGGGUUCAAUCCCCAGUAUGUAUA
rnacentral:tRNA from 1 species